rnacentral:rRNA from 1 species
AUGGCGGCUACCGCGGCGGCGUCGCGCUCCUCCUCCCUGCUCCUCUCCCGCCGCCACGGCGCGUCCUUGUCCUCCUCCUCGUCGGCGUCCCGCGCCGGCGCCUCCCGCCUCCGCGCGCCGAGGUGCGUGCUCGGGACGGCGGAGCAGCUGCGGGUGGUCGAGGCGGGGAAGCCGGUGGGCGGGGCCGACCCGUGGGCCGCGGCCUGGACGCCCAAGACGCCCGCGCAGGAGGCCAGGCUCGCCGCGCUGCCGCAGGAGGCGCGCGACUCCAGGCUCAAGAUCUUCUCCGGCACCGCCAACCGCCCGCUCGCGCAGGAAAUUGCUUCUUAUCUGGGCGUAGACCUUGGCAAGAUCCUUAUCAAGCGCUUUGCUGAUGGAGAAAUCUACGUGCAACUGCAAGAGAGUGUGAGGGGCUGUGAUGUCUUCUUGGUGCAGCCCACUUGCUCUCCUGUCAAUGAAAACCUCAUGGAGCUCUUCAUCAUGAUUGAUGCAUGUCGGCGGGCCUCAGCGCGAUCUAUUACCGUUGUCAUUCCGUACUUUGGAUAUGCCAGAGCAGACAGAAAGGCUCAAGGACGUGAGGCAAUUACUGCCAAACUGGCUGCAAAUUUACUCACGGAAGCUGGCAGUGACCGUGUCAUUGUAUGUGAUAUGCAUUCUGCACAAGCAUUGGGAUACUUCGAUAUUCCUGUGGACCAUAUAUAUGGACAGCCUGUGAUUCUGGAUUACCUUGCUAGCAAGACAAUUUCUAAGGAUCUUGUGGUUGUUUCUCCUGAUGUGGGUGGUGUUGUUAGAGCACGUGCCUUUGCCAAGAAAUUGUCUGACGCCCCUUUAGCUAUUGUUGACAAAAGAAGACAGGGUCACAAUCUGUCAGAGGUCAUGCACUUAAUUGGUGAUGUGAAGGGGAAAGUUGCUAUCAUGGUUGAUGACAUGAUUGACACAGCGGGGACAAUUACUAGCGGAGCAGCAUUGUUAAAACAGGAGGGAGCAGAGGCUGUUUAUGCUUGUUGCACACAUGCUGUCCUCAGCCCACCUGCAAUUGAAAGGCUUUCUGGAGGCAUCUUUGAGGAAGUUAUAGUUACGAACUCCAUCCUGCUACCAGAGGACAAAUGCUUCCCUCAGCUGACAGUGCUCUCCAUGGCAAACCUUGUAGCAGAAACUAUCUGGCAUGUUCACCGCGACGGCUCAGUGAGCAGCAUCUUCCAAUAA